AUUUUUAGGUAAUCAAAAUCUGGGCCCUGGUUAUGAUUCUAGCUACCAGACAUUUACAGACUUUAUAAAUAAUUAUACUAACAUUUUUUUUCAGCACUUCAUCUAUUGCCAAUGGGAGAAUUUGAAAUUUCAAGUCUUAAAGUCCUAAAAUUCAGUGCAUAAGUCCAAUGAGUCCUUGUUUAAUUAAUUGGACCAUUAGCCCAAAAAUUUGUAAGUGGGAAGCUGUAGGCUGAGGAGUGACUUUGCUUAUAAGAUCCAAGUUAGUAAUACCCUCACAUCUACACACUGGUCUCUUCCCUCCAGUUUUUCUGACUAAAAGUUAUGUGUAUUUCUGUUCCUCUCCAUACAUCCAACAUGCCCUGUUUAUCUCAUUCUCCUUAAUUUCAUCAUGCUAAUAAUCAAUAUUUGGUGAUGAGAACAAACUAUGAAACUCUCAUUAUAUAAUUUCCUUCAGUUUCAUGUUACUUCAUAUCUCUUUAAGUCCAUAUAUUCUCAACACCCUAUUCCCAAGUACUCUCAGUCUGUAAUUCUUCCCAUAAUGUGAAAGAUCAGAUUUUGGCUAUACAUUCUAGCUUUUGAGGGGUCAAAAAGAAAAAUAAAUAACUUUGACACCCACAUUAAAGAACAAGUAAAGUAAUAAGUUUUGUGUAUUUUAUUUUUAGAUAGGAGAUGGAAAAGUAAACAGUUCUGAACUGAAUAAUAGGAUUUUUAACAGUAUUAAUUUUCUUACUUGUGUUAUUAUCUUCCUUCUCUGGAGUUUACCUAUAAAUAUGUUGUACACAACACUGGUUUUCCUGUAUUAGAGCACAUUAAUUUCUUACCAUUCAUUAUUUGUAUGCUCUUGCAGUAUCAUUUAAACAUGUAAGCAGCAGUGGUGAUUCAUCCAUUGAAGCUUUUGUUCAGAAGCCGCACCAACCUUCAGUACAGGAAAUUGAAAGCAGUCAUCCUUGUUGAACUACAUUUGUACCCAAAGAGUUCAGCUGUUUAUUCAGUCAAGAUUCCUUGAACAUUAAAGACUUUCAGCUCCCCCAUGGACCUUUCACACAGACUCUGCAUCAGAUGAGCGGUCCUGAACUCCAUGAAUGUAUUUGCAGAUAUGAAUUGAAGCUCCAUCACUUUCUAAAAACGGUCCAGAAGACAAGUUUAACAAGCUCAUGCAAGUUCUGGUACUAUCAGCUCUUGAUGAAGGAUUCAGAUCACCUGUGCUGCAGUCUUGUUUCUCACGUUGCAUUGGAGUGCUAUUAAAUGCCAUUCCAGAAAAUCAGUGGAAUGAAAACAGAGUAAGUGAAUGUACUUAAUAAGAAGUACAGUUAUUACUAAAUCGUCCUUGUGCUUCCAUUUCAGACAGGUUCCUGCUUAACAUUUCCAGUGCUUUG